GACUCGCCAUUUGGAAGCCCACGCUAGGGGGUUGCGAUGCCCGAGCCUCGCAUUUUCCACGGGGCAAACCUUCCCCACCUCGAGACAUCGGGCGCCGCUCCCCCGAGUGUGUCGCGAGGGACUGAGAUGAGCGGAGCAGCGCCGCCUCCGCCCUCCGCCUCCAGGAGCUGCCGCCACUCCUUCGCGUCCGAGCCCCUUCAUCCCCGUCGUCGCUUCCUCCGACUCCACCUCACCUCCCCAUCGCUCGCUCCACCUCCACUGCCCCUCCGCCAGAUCUUGUUGACUCCCCCAGCUGCCGGUCCUCCGUCUCCCCGUCAAGAUCCGGCACCACGCCGCCGUCCUCCGUCGCAGUGGUGACGAACUGGCGCCAAGCCGCCACCAACCGCCGCCCUACCCUGUCUCCUCUCCUCGGACCCUCCCGCACAUCGGCGGUGCCAGGAGCCGCCUCACCUCGCCGGAUCCGCCCCAGCUCGAGCGCGACAAGCCGGCGGCCCUCCCCCUCCCCUCCGCCGCAGGCCGCACCGCGCCACCAGGACCUCGCCGGAGCUGACCCACCUCGUGCGCGACGAGCCGGGUGGCCCUCCUCUCCACCGUCGCACCUCACCAUCAUCAGAGAUCCAGACGCCGCGAACUGACACCGUGUGGUCUGUGUGCUUAUGGCUGAUGAGAUAUGCCGCGAUAUCUACCAUUCAGAUCCUGAAUGGAGUAUCAUUUUGCUUAGGGAACGGUUCUGGAUGGACAUGCUUUGAUCUUGCAACUAUGUCAUGGGAAGAAAUAUGGUCAAGCCACAAAAAAGAAUGCUUUGAUCUUGCAGUUAUUG